CUACCAAAUGUCAACUUCGGGGAAAGGUUUCACAGUAACCUUAACCUGCUUGAGCUGUUUGGAAGAGCAAAGAGAAGACCACACUCCACAGUGGGCUAUAUAAUACUGAACAUUAUAGUCUGCUACUAUAUUGUGGCCUACAUU
rfam:Erinaceus europaeus unplaced genomic scaffold scaffold00108, whole genome shotgun sequence